rnacentral:rRNA from 1 species
UGAUAGUACCAGAAGAGGAAGGACGGCUAACUCUGUGCCAGCAGCCGCGGUAAUACAGAGGUCCCAAGCGUUGUUCGGAUUCAUUGGGCGUUAAGGGUGCGUAGGUGGCGCCGUAAGUCGGGUGUGAAAUUUCGGAGCUUAACUCCGAAACUGCAUUCGAUACUGCGGUGCUUGAGACUGAAGAAGAAGACUUGGAAUUCAUGGUGUAGCAGUGAAAUGCGUAGAGAUCAUGGGGAAGACCAGUGGCGAAGGCGGGUCUCUGGACAGUUCCUGACACUGAGGCACGAAGGCCAGGGGAGCAAACGGGAUUAGAUACCCCGGUAGUCCUGGCAGUAAACGGUGCACGUUUGGUGUGGGGGGAUUCGACCCCUUCCGCGCCGGAGCUAACGCGUUAAACGUGCCGCCUGGGGAGUACGGUCGCAAGAUUAAAACUCAAAGAAAUUGACGGGGGCCCGCACAAGCGGUGGAGUAUGUGGCUUAAUUCGAUGCAACGCGAAGGACCUUACCAGGCCUUGACAUGCAUUUCUAAGCGGGUGAAAGCCGUGAGUUCC